GGGGAUGCGUGGUUUCGACGGCAUGAGGAGGGAUUGGAACGCAGGCCGAGGUCGGACUUCCUCGUAAAUAAGGUCCAAAGCCAUAACUGGCGAACUGACCGAACUCCCAGCCGCGGCCUAACCCCGGCGGGCGGCCGACAGGUCCAACGGAGCCGAGGACUUGACGGCCGACGAAUCGAGGCUCCUGACAGCCGGAAAGCACGGACGACGGCGCGCACUUCUUGCUUGGUAGUACGGAGCGCGCAAGGAGACAAACCAGCAGGGUGGCAAGAGGCCGUAGCGUCGGAGUAGCGGCCCGCCCAGUAACCAGACACCGAAUAAGCCUGUAGACGCCAAAACUGAGUCGUGUCGGACGGGGUGUUCGACUCACCCCCAUCUCCACCA
rnacentral:tmRNA from 1 species